rnacentral:misc_RNA from 1 species
GUAAAGCCAGGCCUCUUGCAGCCUGUCAAGUACAUUUCCAGUAUUGAUAUCUUCCACGAGGCUCUCCUCACAAGCAUCUUUAAGGUCUGCAUUAUCAUAUUUGUUCGCAGCCUCAAGCAAUGCUAAACGGUGUUUCCAGAAAUCCUCUUGUUUAAUUGUUCCAUACAAGUAACUGAGAAAAGCCAUGCAAGACUCCGUUGACAUGUCUUCUAUGUUGAUUGUAGAGGACUCUUUUUCCUUGAAGUCAUGAUGAAACAUGCUCUGGAAAACAGGUGAACUUGCAGCAAGAAUUGCUUUAUGUGCUCUUAAAGUGCCAUCAGCAGUGUGGAUCGUAACAUCAGCAUGGAUGGCUUCAUCCAGCAUGCGAGAGAGACGUCUAAGUGUGCUUUGGGUUGAAAUAGACUGCAUCAUACCAUCACUAGG